AACGACUCUCGGCAACGGAUAUCUCGGCUCUCGCAUCGAUGAAGAACGCAGCGAAAUGCGAUACUUGGUGUGAAUUGCAGAAUCCCGCGAACCAUCGAGUUUUUGAACGCAAGUUGCGCCCAAAGCCGUCAGGCAGAGGGCACGUCUGCCUGGGUGUCACGC
rnacentral:rRNA from 1 species